rnacentral:rRNA from 1 species
CCCUUAGAUGUUCUGGGCUGCACGCGUGCUACAAUGGCGUUUCCAGCAAGUCUGCGAACCCGAGAGGGCCAGCGGAUCUUCGAAUUGGCGUCGUGAUCGGGACAGUCGAUUGCAAUUAUUUGACUCAAACGAGGAAUUCCUUGUAAUCGCGAUUCAUCAUAUCGCGCUGAAUACGUCCCUGCCCUUUGUACACACCGCCCGUCGCUCCUACCGAUUGAGCGAUCCGGUAAAUGUUUUGGAUUGGUGCCGGGGCGGCUGGCUGCCGGUCGCUACGAAAUUUUGUGAACCUUAUCGCUUAGAGGAAGGAAAAGUCGUAACA